AGGAUUAACGCUGGCGGCGUGCCUAACACAUGCAAGUCGAACGAGGGGGCAACCCCUAGUGGCAGACGGGUGAGUAACACGUGGUCAACCUACCGCUUUGUGGGGGAUAACCAGCCGAAAGGUUGGCUAAUACCGCAUACGUCGCGAUCGGCAUCGAUCGUUGAUAAAAGGAGCAAUCCGCAAGGUGACGGGACCGCGUCCCAUUAGCUAGUUGGUGAGGUAACGGCCCACCAAGGCUCCGAUGGGUAGCUGGUUUGAGAGAGCGACCAGCCACACUGGGACUGAGAUACGGCCCAGACUCCUACGGGAGGCAGCAGUUGGGAAUCUUGGACAAUGGGGGAAACCCUGAUCCAGCCAUGCCGCGUGAGUGAUGAAGGCCUUCGGGUUGUAAAACUCUUUCGACGGGGACGAUAAUGACGGUACCCGUAGAAGAGCUCCGGCUAACUUCGUGCCAGCAGCCGC
rnacentral:rRNA from 1 species